ACGAAGGGGGCGAGCGUUGUUCGGAAUUACUGGGCGUAAAGGGCGCGCAGGCGGCUCUGAAAGUCAGAUGUGAAAGCCCCGGGCUUAACCUGGGAAUUGCAUUUGAUACUCUGGAGCUUGAGUACGGGAGAGGAGAGUGGAAUUCCCAGUGUAGAGGUGAAAUUCGUAGAUAUUGGGAAGAACACCGAUGGCGAAAGCGACUUCCUGGACCAGUACCGACGUUCAGGCACGAAAGCGUGGGGAGCAAACAGGA
rnacentral:rRNA from 1 species